rnacentral:rRNA from 1 species
AUUGAACGCUGGCGGCAGGCCUAACACAUGCAAGUCGAACGGUAACAGGAAGAAGCUUGCUUCUUUGCUGACGAGUGGCGGACGGGUGAGUAAUGUCUGGGAAACUGCCUGAUGGAGGGGGAUAACUACUGGAAACGGUAGCUAAUACCGCAUAACGUCGCAAGACCAAAGAGGGGGACCGUCGGGCCUCUUGCCCUCGGAUGUGCCCAGAUGGGAUUAGCUAGUAGGUGGGGUAACGGCUCACCUAGGCGACGAUCCCUAGCUGGUCUGAGAGGAUGACCAGCCACACUGGAACUGAGACACGGUCCAGACUCCUACGGGAGGCAGCAGUGGGGAAUAUUGCACAAUGGGCGCAAGCCUGAUGCAGCCAUGCCGCGUGUAUGAAGAAGGCCUUCGGGUUGUAAAGUACUUUCAGCGGGGAGGAAGGGAGUAAAGUUAAUACCUUUGCUCAUUGACGUUACCCGCAGAAGAAGCACCGGCUAACUCCGUG